rnacentral:rRNA from 1 species
UACGAAGGGUGCAAGCGUUACUCGGAAUUACUGGGCGUAAAGCGUGCGUAGGCGGUUUGUUAAGUCUGUUGUGAAAGCCCCGGGCUCAACCUGGGAAUGGCAAUGGAAACUGGCGAGCUAGAGUACGGUAGAGGAGAGUGGAAUUCCCGGUGUAGCAGUGAAAUGCGUAGAGAUCGAGAGGAACAUCAGUUGCGAAGGCGGCUCUCUGGACCAGUACUGACGCUGAGGCACGAAAGCGUGGGGAGCAAACAGG